rnacentral:rRNA from 1 species
GACGUAGGGCGCGAGCGUUGUCCGGAUUUAUUGGGCGUAAAGAGCUCGUAGGCGGCUUGUCACGUCUGCUGUGAAAUCCCGGGGCUCAACCCCGGGCGUGCAGUGGAUACGGGCAGACUUGAGUACUGCAGGGGAGACUGGAAUUCCUGGUGUAGCGGUGAAAUGCGCAGAUAUCAGGAGGAACACCGGUGGCGAAGGCGGGUCUCUGGGCAGUAACUGACGCUGAGGAACGAAAGCGUGGGUAGCGAACAGG